rnacentral:lncRNA from 1 species
GAUCUCUGGGAGUUCUAUCUACCCUAUUUAUAUUCCUGUAUAUCAUUGAUGGGAUGUUUGUUACUUCUCUUGUGUACACCAGUUGGCCUUUCUCGUAUGUUCACAGUGAUGGGUCAGUUGCUAGUGAAGCCAACAAUUCUUGAAGACCUGGAUGAACAAAUUUAUAUCAUUACCUUAGAGGAAGAAGCACUCCAGAGACGACUAAAUGGGCUGUCUUCAUCGGUGGAAUACAACAUAAUGGAGUUGGAACAAGAACUUGAAAAUGUAAAGACUCUUAAGACAAAAUUAGGUAUUGUACUUUUUUUUUCUUGACUUGUGUAUUGGCCUUGGUUUCUUAUUAAAGACUUUACUGUAGUCUGAAAUAUUAGAAAAUUUAUGAAAUCUUUAUGUUAAAACUUUUGACCUGCCCAAAAUCAUUAAUAAAGACUAUCUUACAGUUUGGGGAGAGGAUAAGUUUACAUUUAUUCACUUUUUUUGGUUUUAUAUAUAUACAAAAUGACUUUUCAAAGGUUCACAGGUUCAAAGAUGUUGCUCCAUUGCCUUCUCACUUGCAUUAUUUCCAACAAGUCAUCUGUCAUACUUAUCUUUUAAUGUGUCUUUUUUCU